GGUUGGCCGGCCUCCACCCGGCGGUGGAUGGCGUUGUGCGCGUUCAAGCUGUCCAGGUUCGUAAACAGGUUCCCACACUUAGUGCAGACUUCGUAGAGGCUCAGGCCGGCCACGAUCACCUCUUCCUGCACCACGUCGUUGAUGGUGGCCACGGGCUCCAGCUCGCUCCGGGGCCUGUUUUUGCUCCCCGCCUUCGGGCCAUGCGCCUUCAUGAACCAGGUCUGGCUGAAGGCCUGGCCGCACACCUCGCAGGGGAACUCGCCGGGCGGCAGCUCUGGCUUGCCGUUUUCGGCGAAGGCGUCUCCGCGAGGCCCCUGCGCCGCGACAUGAUCCUUCUCGACGUGACUGAGCAGGGCCUCCUCACGCAGGGUGGCGUAGCUGCACAGGCGGCACGUGAAGGGCUUGUGCGCCUGCUGCACGUGCUGCGCCAGCGUGCUGCGCAGCAGGAUCUUGCCGGUGUCCGCCUGCGUGGCGCCGUUCAGGAUGCGGUUGCAGGCCGACGUGCUCUUGGUGGGGCUGGUGCAGCCGCCAAGCCCCUCGGACACGCGCGUCUCGGCCGCCUCAGGCUCGCGGCCCUGGGUGAGCGUGCCUGCGCGGUGCCCGCGGAUGUGGAUCUUGAGGUUGCCCUUCUGCGCGGCGCGGUGGUCGCAAUAGGGGCACUUGUAGGGCUUCUCGCCCGUGUGCUUGCGCAUGUGCUGGGACAGUGA
rnacentral:lncRNA from 1 species